rnacentral:rRNA from 1 species
UACGAAGGGGGCGAGCGUUGUCCGGAUUUAUUGGGCGUAAAGAGCGUGUAGGCGGCCAUGUAGGUCCGGUGUGAAAACUCGAGGCUUAACCUCGAGAUGUCAUCGGAAACCAUUUGGCUAGAGUCCGGAAGAGGAGAGUGGAAUUCCUGGUGUAGCGGUGAAAUGCGCAGAUAUCAGGAAGAACACCAAUGGCGAAAGCAGCUCUCUGGGACGGUACUGACGCUGAGACGCGAAAGCGUGGGGAGCGAACAGG